rnacentral:rRNA from 1 species
CCUACGGGAGGCUGCAGUCGAGAAUCAUUCACAAUGGGGGAAACCCUGAUGGUGCGACGCCGCGUGGGGGAAUGAAGGUCUUCGGAUUGUAAACCCCUGUCAUGUGGGAGCAAAUUAAAAAGAUAGUACCACAAGAGGAAGAGACGGCUAACUCUGUGCCAGCAGCCGCGGUAAUACAGAGGUCUCAAGCGUUGUUCGGAAUCACUGGGCGUAAAGCGUGCGUAGGCUGUUUCGUAAGUCGUGUGUGAAAGGCGCGGGCUCAACCCGCGGACGGCACAUGAUACUGCGAGACUAGAGUAAUGGAGGGGGAACCGGAAUGCUCGGUGUAGCAGUGAAAUGCGUAGAUAUCGAGAGGAACACUCGUGGCGAAGGCGGGUUCCUAGACAUUAACUGACGCUGAGGCACGAAGGCCAGGGGAGCGAAAGGGAUUAGAUACCCCAGUAGUC